UCCAGACUCCUACGGGAGGCAGCAGUGGGGAAUAUUGCACAAUGGGGGAAACCCUGAUGCAGCAACGCCGCGUGAGUGAAGAAGUAUUUCGGUAUGUAAAGCUCUAUCAGCAGGGAAGAAGAUGACGGUACCUGAUUAAGAAGCCCCGGCUAACUACGUGCCAGCAGCCGCGGUAAUACGUAGGGGGCAAGCGUUAUCCGGAUUUACUGGGUGUAAAGGGAGCGCAGACGGCAGUGCAAGUCUGGAGUGAAAGCCCGGGGCCCAACCCCGGAACUGCUCUGGAAACUGUGCGGCUAGAGUGCUGGAGGGGCAGGCGGAAUUCCUAGUGUAGCGGUGAAAUGCGUAGAUAUUAGGAGGAACACCAGUGGCGAAGGCGGCCUGCUGGACAGUAACUGACGUUGAGGCUCGAAAGCGUGGGGAGCAAACAGGAUUAGAUACCCCAGUA
rnacentral:rRNA from 1 species